rnacentral:rRNA from 1 species
GAUGAACGCUAGCGCUAGGCUUAACACAUGCAAGUCGAGGGACCGGCGCACGGGUGCGUAACGCGUAUGCAACUUGCCUCACAGAGGGGGAUAACCCGUCGAAAGACGGACUAAUACCGCGUACUGUGAGAUAGGCAUGCGUCCCAUUAGCUAGUUGGUGAGGUAACGGCUCACCAAGGCAACGAUGGGUAGGGGAACUGAGAGGUUGACCCCCCACACUGGUACUGAGACACGGACCAGACUCCUACGGGAGGCAGCAGUGAGGAAUAUUGGUCAAUGGGCGAGAGCCUGAACCAGCCAAGCCGCGUGAAUGAAGAAGGCUUCGGGUUGUAAAGUUCUUUCGGUAGCGAGGCGUUAACUACAGAAGAAGCACCGGCUAACUCCGUGCCAGCAGCCGCGGUAAUUC